CAGUAGCCGCGGUAAUACGAAGGGGGCUAGCGUUACUCGGAAUUACUGGGCGUAAAGGGCGCGUAGGCGGCACGAUUAGUCAGGCGUGAAAUUCCUGGGCUCAACCUGGGGACUGCGCUUGAUACGGUCGAGCUAGAGGAUGGAAGAGGGUCGUGGAAUUCCCAGUGUAGAGGUGAAAUUCGUAGAUAUUGGGAAGAACACCGGUGGCGAAGGCGGCGACCUGGUCCAUUACUGACGCUGAGGCGCGACAGCGUGGGGAGCAAACAGGAUUAGAUACCCCCGUAGUCCCUGUCUCUUAUAC
rnacentral:rRNA from 1 species